rnacentral:rRNA from 1 species
ACGAACGCUGGCGGCGUGCUUCACACAUGCAAGUCGAACGAAAAGAGGGAAAGAGCUUGCUCUUUCCGGAAUUGAGUGGCAAACGGGUGAGUAACACGUAAACAACCUGCCUUCAGGAUGGGGACAACAGACGGAAACGACUGCUAAUACCGAAUAAGUUCCAAGAGCCGCAUGGCCCAUGGAAGAAAAGGUGGCCUCUACCUGUAAGCUAUCGCCUGAAGAGGGGUUUGCGUCUGAUUAGCUGGUUGGAGGGGUAACGGCCCACCAAGGCGACGAUCAGUAGCCGGUCUGAGAGGAUGAACGGCCACACUGGAACUGAGACACGGUCCAGACUCCUACGGGAGGCAGCAGUGGGGAAUCUUCCGCAAUGGGCGAAAGCCUGACGGAGCAACGCCGCGUGAGUGAUGACGGCCUUCGGGUUGUAAAACUCUGUGAUCCGGGACGAAAAGGCAGAGUGCGAAGAACAAACUGCAUUGACGGUACCGGAAAAGCAAGCCACGGCUAACUACGUG